CUUUAUUUGUUCUGAAAACACUUUUGUGUGUGUUACGUACAGGGUUGUUUGCUGUGCUGUUACCUGCUCUGUUGGCCAGCCCUGGCAGAGCCAGCCCGAAUGAGACACACUUGAAUUUGUGAAUGAAAGGAAAUCUUGCAUCGCAAAAAUGAAGCCAAGCUGGGUAGCCGCAUUCAGCGCAGUGGAAGCACUUGGCAAGUCUUGAACCUCUGCCCAUUUGCUUCAUACAACACAGUUUCAGAAAAGUGAGGAAAUCCAAUUUGGUGUCCAGACAAUUUGGAGCACAGGAUACAAGGCUGAUUCAUCAGGCUUCAACUCCCUACAGAUCACUGCACAGUGUGAAGCUACUAUGUGAAAGUCAUUUGAAAUGCUCAAACUGAAUUAAGUUGGCAGUCAGGCACCACAUAUGUGCUAACAGAAUCCUGUGCCGG
rnacentral:lncRNA from 1 species